rnacentral:lncRNA from 1 species
UUCUUUUCUCUCCAGCAGCCCCUAAGCCUCUCUUCUCCAAUGCCAAGCGCAACCAUGUCGAUGGCCGGCAUCCUCAGGCUACAUGCAAACACUUUGUGGCCUUGAGGUUCCCCUUAAGUCUCCGAUUUCGGCGAAGCAAAGGAGAACCGAUAGUCUAUUUUCCAGGUAAGGUUUCGUCUCCUUUUUCUUUUAUUUAGGUGUAAAGAACGAAAAAGAAAAUCAAAAAGGGAAAUCGAGAGAGAAAGGAGCGUAAUAAACCCCAGAGAUUCAAAAGUAAAAGAUCACCUUGUUCUAUUUUUUGUUUUCUAUUCCUUCUGAAUGUGUGUGUAUUCUCUGUGAACGUAACCUUUACAAUGAUUACAGAUCCUGGCUUUAUAGCCAAAAAAAGAAAGAGAAAAUAAUAAAAAUAAAUAUAAAGAAUUCGACAUUUGUUCUUUGUUUUUUUCUACUCUAUGCUAUUGUUGCGUUUAUCACUUUCUUCGCAGGUACAGGUGUGCGCUCGGGUACGGGGCCGUGUGCUGGCGCGAACGUGACUGCUGGACGGUACGGAGGCCAGGGCUGAGGCUUGGCUGGUUGCGGCGCAAAGGGGAACCUUAGGGUUCCUGAGGAUUGCUUGACCUUUGGGCAAAUCGGGCUGUAUUUUGGGUCUAGGUUAAUGGGCCAUUGUAUUUGGUUUUGGGUCUAAACAAUGGGUUUGGGCUAUUGUAAUAAUUUCAGACUAAUGGACUUUUAAUAAUAUUUGUUGGUUUUUUAAUAUAUAUAUAUUUAUUUAUUUAUUGUUGUAUAUUUGGGUUUCUAGUGGGCUCGGGCAAAUUUGCCUAUUUACAGCUACCCCUCUUUGCUCAUUGUCGUGUAACGAAAAUAUAGCAAAGACUAUAAAAAGGACCAAAUUUGCCCGGUCUGGCUAAGUCUCAAAAUCUUGAUCCUCUUCUUCUCCAAAGGUAUUCUGAUGUCUUCAGGAGUGUCAAAUUGGCUAUCCUCAACUCGUUUCUUGAGAACUCAGGAAUACCCAUCUGUUAUUUCCGAUCUGCUCUUUACCAAUACAGAGAUGUCAAGUCCGUUAUCUUCGAUCUGCUCUCUGAAAAUACAGAGACGCCAAAUCUGCUAUCUUUGAUCUACUCUCCGCCAAUACAGAGACGCCAAAUCUGCUAUCUUCGAUCUGCUCUCUGCCAAUACAGAGAUGCCAAAUCUGCAAUCUUCGAUCUGCUCUCCACCAAUACAGAGAUGAUAAAUCUGCUAUCUUUGAUCUGCUCUCCGCCAAUACAGAAACGCAAAAUCUAUUAUCUUUGAUCUGCUCUCCGCCAAUACAGAGACGCCAAAUCUGCUAUCUUUGAUCUGCUCUCUGCCAAUACAGAGACGCCAAAUCUUCUAUCUUCGAUUUGUUCUCCGCCAAUACAGAGACGUCAAAUCUGCUAUCUUCGAUCUGCUCUCCGCCAAUACAGAGACGCAAAAUCUGCUGGAUUCACCAAUGUCGCUACACUGUCUUCUAAAGACAUGAUGUGUAGAAUGGGUUUCCUGUAUCUGUGUAUGCCAAAUAAUUAGGGUGCCAUGAUCUAAAUGAAUCCAAUUCCCCUGACUAUACAUGGUGUUUAUGUCAAGUAACUAAAAUGCUAUGAUCGGAAUGAACCAAGUGCUCAUAACUAAAUGAAUGAUUAUGAAUAUAGAAAUGUCAUGAGAAUGAUUCCUUUUUAAACGCUUAAGGUGUCAUUGCUCAUAAUUCGUCCGGGUUCUAUCAUUGAUGUGCUAUCGCAUCUUCCUGCUUAGCCGCUAUCUCUGACAGAAAAUUUGAAGAAAUAGUCCUAAUUUGGACUACUCUUUUUUCAAUGUUUUCCAACUUUGAACCUGGUUAGUCCUGACUAGUGGCCCUGUUUCAGGUCCUUGCACUAUUUAGAGACUUUCCAGAGUAAUAUGCAUAACAUCUUUUGUGUAAAUGUUACACGUUCAAAAAUCGCGAUUUCAACAAAAAUGCUCGAAAGAGAUUAUCAUAAUAGACCAAUGGAAUUUUAUUAAGAAAAAUUUGAUGUGAAUACAUAGGAAUACGAAUCUGAUAAGGUGAAAAAAAUGAGAAAAAGGUGCCCCAGAUAUCGCAGCACGAGUUUCACUAUUCUAAUUUCUCAAAGGCUCCUUUGAACCAAAUGUGUAUUCAGGAGAUCCUGUGUAUUUUUUUGAUGCUCCAAGGUGUACUGUUCUUCUUUCUUGUUGAUUUUGGAAGGACAAGACUACCAUAUACCCUAUAUUCAAAAUUUAAGCUGCCCGUUUUUGAGUUUUCAACUCGAAAGCCCCUUUGGUUCCAAAGUGCCCUUUGUAGGUUUUCACCUUGGCCUCUCCGUUUUUUUUUUUUUUGAUAAUCUUAGAGUGCCCUUUGCGGGUUUUCAAUCUGGCCCCUCUUCUUUUAGGUAAAAUACCUGAAUCUGAGUUUACAGGAUUGGGCAAGUUUCUAUCGUCCAUCUCGGCUAGGAUCAAUGCUCCUCCAGAGAAAGCUUUCUUCACCACGUAAGGCCCUUCCCAAUUAGGCAUCCAUUUCCCUCGAAAAUCCUUCUGUACGGGAAAGAUCUUUUUCAAAACUAGGUCUCCCUCGUGGAAUUCUCUAGGGCGAACCUUUUUGUCAUAAGCCCGCAUCAUUCGUUUUUGGUACAUCUGACCAUGACGGAUAGCUCUUAGCCUCUUUUCCUCGAUCAAGUUCAAUUGGUCAUAUCGAGACUGGACCCACUCUGCUUCAUCCAAUUUUAGUUUCGAAAACACUCGGAGGAUGGAAUCUCAACUUCGAUCGACAACAUCGCUUCCAUUCCGUAGACCAAAGAGAAAGGGGUAGCCUCGGUUGAGGUUCUGACUGACGUUCGAUAAGCAAAGAGGGCAAACGGUGAUUUUUCAUGCCAAUCUUUGUAGGUCUCGGUCAUCUUCCCCACAAUCUUCUUAAUGUUUUUAUUGGCUGCUUCCACUGCCCCAUUCAUCUUCAGGCGAUACGGUGACGAGUUGUGAUGUCUGAUCUUAAAUUGACUGCAGACCUCCGCUAUCGUACUGUUGUUCAAGGUUAAUGCAUUGUCAGAUAUGAUCCUCUCCGGCAUUCCAUAUCGACAUAUGAUCUCAUUUUUCAGAAACUUACUCACUGCCGAUUUUGUCACACUAGCAUACGAAGCGGCUUCUACCCAUUUGGUGAAAUAGUCGAUAACCACAAAGAUGAACCGAUGCCCAUUGGAAGCUUUCGGUGAUAUUGGUCCAAUCACAUCCAUGCCCCACAUAGAGAAUGGCCAUGGAGAAACCAUGACAUGCAGCUGUAAAGGAGGCACAUGAAUUUUGUCUCCGUAGAUUUGGCACUUAUGGCAUCUCUUAGCGUAGUUGACACAGUCUCAUUCCAUGGUGGACCAAUAGUACCCGAAUCUCAUAAUUUGCCUGGCCAUUGUAAAGCCAUUAGCAUGUGUCCCACAGACGCCUUCAUGGACUUCUUCGAAGAUUGUCUUAGCCUCUGCAGCGUCUACACAUCUUAGUAGCACUUGAUCCUUUCUUCUUUUGUAUAAGAUAUCCCCAUCUAAGACAUAGUCGAUGGCCAAUCUUCUUAGCAUUCUUUUGUCAUUCUCGCUUGCCUGGUCCGGGUAUUCACGAUUCUUCACGUAUUGCAAUAUAUCGUGAUACCAACGGUGAUCAUCUUUCUCCUUGUCUUCUUCAAUAUUGUAACAGUAGGCCGAAACUUCAUAAAUGCUCAUUCGGAUGGGUCUGACAUCUUCUUGUUUGUUCACCUUGAUCAUGGAGGCUAGGGUAGCCAAAGCAUCAGCCAUCUGAUUUUCAUCUCGUAGAAGGUAGUGGAAGGUAAUGUCAUCAAACUCUUUAACCAAUUCUAGGACCAGCUUCUGAUAAUCGAUUAACUUGGGGUCUCUGGUCUCCCAUUCUCCCCUGAGUUGAUAAAUCACUAGCGUAGAAUCCCCAUACACCUCUAGCACUUUAAUCUUGCAUUCUAUGGCUGCGCGGAUACCCAUGAUGCACGCUUCAUAUUCCGCCAUAUUAUUUGUACAAUCAAAAUCCAAUUUACUAGUGAAUGGAUAAUGAUCUCCAUUUGGGGAUACCAAGACGGCCCCGAUUCCAUUGCCCACAGCAUUUGACGCCCCAUCGAAGUUCAGUUUCCAAGGAAGUUCAUCCAGAGCAUCUUCUUCAGUGGUAGCAAUACACAUUAGGUCUUCAUUCGGAAAGUCAAAGUUCAGAGGCUCGUAGUCUUCCAAAGCUCUACUGGCUAGAAAAUCUGCUAUUGCACUUCCUUUUACUGCUUUCUGGUUCACAUAGACUAUGUCGAAUUCAGAAAGUAGAAUCUGCCAUCGGGCCAUCCUUCCAUUCAAGGCUGUUGACUCCAUCAUGUACUUUAAAGGGUCCAAUUUUGAUAUGAGCCAAGUGGUGUGAUACAACAUAUACUGCCUCAGCCUUCGGGUUGUCCAAAUUAGGGCACAACACAACUUCUCUAUCGGCGGGUACCUCAUCUCACAUUCUAUGAACUUUUUACUAAGAUAGUAAAUGGCCUUCUCUUUCCUUCCUGACUCAUCAUGCUGACCCAAUACGCAUCCCAUGGAGUUUCCGAAUACUUCCAAAUACAAUAUCAACGGCUUAUCGGGGUUAGGUGGCAUCAGCACCGGGGCGUUGGAUAAGUACUGUUUGACCUUGUCGAAAGCCCUUUGGCAUUCUUCAUCCCAUUCACCUGGGUUAUGUUUCUUGAAGAGUCGAAAGACAGGGUCACAUUUCUCGGUCAGUUGUGAAAUGAACCGAGCAAUGUAAUUUAACCUUCUUAGAAAACCUCGAACCUCUUUUUGAGUGGGCGGCAGAGAUAGCUCUUGUAUGGCUUUAACCUUGUCUGGAUCAAUUUCGAUCCCUUUCUCACUAACCACGAAUCCAAGCAACUUUCCAGACUUGGAUCCAAAGGUACAUUUGGCGGGGUUGAGUUUUAGCUGAAACUUCCUCAACCUCAAGAACAAUUUCUUCAGGACUUGUAUGUGCUCCUUCUCUAUUCGAGAUUUAGCGAUCAUAUCAUCGACAUAAACCUCAAUCUCUUUAUGCAUCAUGUCGUGAAAAAGGGUGACCAUGGCUCUUUGAUAAGUUGCCCCCGAAUUCUUUAGUCCCAACGGCAUCACCUUGUAGCAAAACGUGCCCCACAUGGUUACAAAUGUGGUCUUCUCUAUAUCUUCUGGAUGCACCUUGAUCUGGUUGUAUCCAGAGAAACCGUCCAUCAAUGAAAAUAGUGAGUGCCCCGCCGUGUUGUUUACUAGGGUGUCGAUAUGAGGCAGUGGGAAAUUAUCUUUCGGGCUGGCUUUAUUCAAAUCUCUGUAGUCCACACACAUUCUCACUUUUCCAUCUUUCUUAGGGACGGGGACGAUGUUGGCUACCCAAUCUGAGUAUUUUACUACCUUUAGGAAUCCAGCGUCGAACUGCUUUCGAACCUCUUCUUUUAUUUUUAGCAAAACAUCGGGCCUCAUUCUUCGGAGUUUUUGCUGAAUUGGCUUACAUUCUUCCUUUAUGGGAAGCCGGUGUACCACGAUGUCAGUGUCCAACUCGGGCAUAUCUUGGUAUGACCAUGCAAAGACGUUUUUGAAUUCUCAAAGUAAUUCAAUGAGGUCUCGCUUCAUUUCUGUAGUGAUACAUGUUCCGAUCUUCACCUCUUGUCCUUCUCCUAAGCUCACAAUUUCAACUGAUUCUUUAUGAGGUAGGAUUUGUUUCUCGUCUUGUUCUACCAUCCUCAACAAAUCAGGAGAUAGGUUACAGCCUUGGUCAUCUUCAAAAUCUUGAGAAUCAUCCAUACACACAUCUUGCUCGAAAGGAAAUUCUGAGUUGCUAACAGUGUCACUCGUAUCAUUAAUAUCUGGGGACCUGUUAUGAGGAUGAAAGCAGAUACAAAGAAUCAAAAGAAUUCAAAACAUUUAUUUGCGUGGUAUGAUUAUGAAUGACGAAUGAAAGAAUAUUUAGAAGAAUGUUUCAAGGAUGAAAGAAUCCAAAAGUAAUCAUUUGUAUGGUUAUGAAUGAAACUGAGAGGACGAGAGAACAUUUGCUCAAAAAUGAUAAUAACCGUGUAUUUUAUUGAAACAACGUUUUUAAACAUCAGCAUAUUUCACAAAAGAUCCUUAUCACUCCUAGGUCUAGAGUAAUAAGUGUGUUUUGGACAUUACUCUGAAUUCGUUCUAAAAACUAAAGGGAUCUCUUCCGCUGUCCAGUUGUCUAGAACACUUCCAGGUGUGUAGGGGAAAAUGCCCGACAAGUUUUCUCUUUCAGUCUCCUCUUCGUACAGACGUUGAUGUCCAAGCUUUCCAGCCUUUCUUCUAUAACUCCUGUCAUUGGCGUAUCUCUCUCGGGAUGAAUGAUUCCCCCGGACACAAAUGUUUCCAAUAUAUGAGGGAAUAUCAUUGGUUCCCACUUGAUCUCCUCCCUCGUUAACUGAGCUCUCCUUCUUUCUUGCUUCUUUUCCAGCUCUUUUCUCCUUUGUUUCGUAUUCGGCUUAAAUUCUAAGCCGAAGCGGUCUCUCUUUUCCUUCAGCAUUGGCGUUUCAACCCUUCCUUGCAGAUAUCUCGCAAGUCCCCUUCCGAGUAGGGCCCAUUUUCCAAUCGUCAACUGGAGGCUCAUCCUCGUGGUUUUGGAUAAUUUCGGCACCAGAAUUUUGCUUCCCUCAGCGAUGAACAUCGCAUUAACAAAUUCCAAAGAUCGAAAUGGGCAUUCGAUUGCUUCGUCAUCUGUCUCCAAAUAUGGUGUAUUAUUGCUCACAGUUGCAAUAAUAUCUUCUUCAGCCUUAAUCGUUAUCAACCUCCCCUCCGAUACCAGCUUCAAUUUUUGAUGCAACGAGGAAGGCACUGCCCCAGCUGAAUGUAUCCACGGCCUCCCCAACAAGCAAUUGUAUGAGGGCUUGAUAUCCAUUACGAGGAAAUCCACCUCAUACGUGUUUGGCCCAAUCUGAAGAGGUACCUCGAUUCUGCCCAUCACCUUUCUCUCCGUGCGAUCGAAUGCCUUCACGAUGCUCUGGCACUCCUUCAUCUGAGAGCUGUCUAUAGGUAAUCUGUUCAGCGUGGUCAAUGGCAGGAUGUUCAAAGCCGAUCCAUUGUCAAUCAAUACGCCUGGCAACGUAUACCCUUUACAGCGUGUGGUGAUAUGCAGGGCUUUAGUCGACCCCAUGCCCCCGGGUGGUAUCUCGUCGUCAUUAAAAAAGAUAUAAUUGUCGGCACUUAUGUUGCUCACCAAACAGUCCAACUUGUUAACGGAGAUAUCGUUGGCAACAUAUGUCUCGUUUAAGACCUUUAUUAGCGCGCUACGAUGAACUUCCGAGCUUAGAAGCAAGGCCAGCACCGAGAUACGGGCUGGUUAUUUACGCAGCUGUUCUACCACACUAUAUUCGCUAUGCUUUAGGAAUUUUAAAAAACUCCUUGGCCUCCUCUUCGUUAACUGGCUCGUUAACAGGUUUUGCUACUUUUCCCUUUAUUUCCUCGACCACCUGCGCUUUUCCUUUUGUGGGUUGUGCCUCCUCAUUCGCCGUAUCGUAAACGUGUAUAAGAACCCCUGUCUUGAUCCCCUCUUGAAGCGUCAAUCGGGCUCUCCUUUCCCGGUAUCGUUACACUGCAAUCAUAAUUCCAUGGGACCUUUUUACUGUCUUUGUAAGGGAAGACUGCAGGUCUUUGGAUUAUGACCCUCGGUGGCAUGUGAACUCCAGCUUCAUUAUUUUUGGGUCUCGAUAUGAUCACCAUGGGAUAGUUAGGUGCUUGAUUCUGCUCCUUUGAUUCUCCCUCGGAUGCUCAUAUAUCUCCCUCUACGAGGGUUUUAGCAUCUUCAUAGAAUUCCAUUUCUUUAUUAUCCAUCAUGUUCUGCACGAGGGCCCUGAAGUCCACACAUUCUUGGAUUUCAUGCCACACCUCAUUGUGGAACCUGCAGUAGUUCCUCUCUUCUUUGGAUUCUCUCCUCAAAUCCAACGCGAUCAAACCUCUCUUGACUAUCUCCUUCCAUACUCGCCUCAACGGAGUCCUGACUUCCGCAACCUCAUACUUGGUCUUCUUGUUCAAGCCUUCACAUAUCCCAUUCACUCAUUGGUCGGUAUGACUAGGGAGUGGGUUUCCUGCUACAUUGGGCGUGGCUGGGUCAUCAAACCUCACGAUCCCCAUCUUAAUGAGUCUUUCGACUAAUUUCUUAAACGCAGCGCAGUUUUCGUUAGAGUGCCUGGUGAUUCCCGCUUGGUAUUCACAUUGGGCAUCUGUAUCAUACCAUUUGGGAUAUGGGGGCUGCAAUGGCUUAAGGUAGAAAGGGGACACCACAUGAGCGUUGAACAGGUUCUGGUACAACUCCCUAUACGUCAUGGGUAUAGGGGUGAAUUGUGGUCUUUCUGUGUUCUCCCUUGCGUUGGAUUCUUGUCUUACAGAGCUUUACUGAUUGGUGGUCACCAUCUUGGGUUGAUUUACAGUGAAUGACUUGGACUGACCUUUGUUAGAUGUACUCGUGUUGUUCACUUCAUUGUUUCUUUUCCUCGGGGCUGACUUCCUGGUACUUUCUCCGGCUUCUAUCUUACUGCUUCUCACGGCAUUUUCGAUCAUUUCCCCUAUUAUCACUAUGUCGGAGAAGCUCUUGGUGGCGCUUCCCAACAUAUGAAUGAUAAAAGGGGCUUUCAAGGUGUUAAUAAAGAGCAUUGUCGUCUCUUUUUCUAGAAGUGGCGGCUGAACUUGUAUGGCCACUUCUCUCCACCUUUGUGCGUACUGUCUGAAGCUUUCAUUUGGCUUUUUCUCCAUAUUCUGGAGAGUGAUUCUGUCAGGGGACAUGUCCAUCACAUGACUGUAUUGCUUCAUAAAGGCCUGGGCCAGGUCCUUCCAUGAGUUAAUUUUAGCUCGGCUUAAUUGGUUGUACCACUUAGACGCCACCCUGACCAGACUAUCUUGAAAGCAGUGGAUUAAUAGCUAGUCAUUGUUAACAUAUCUCGUCAUUCACCUGCAAAACAUAGUGAUGUGGGCUUCAGGGCAGCUCAUUCCAUUGUAUUUCUCGAAUUCGGGCAUUUUGAAUUUAGGGGGAAAGACUAAGUCUGGAACUAGACUCAGGUCUUUGGCAUCAAUCCCUUGAUGAUGAUCCGCGCUUUCCCUGGCUUUGAAUUUCUCCUCGAGCCAUCUACACCGUUCUUCCAAUUGUUUUUGCAAAUCUAUCCUCGCCUUUUCUUCGUCGGCAACUUCAUCCAAAUCGGGAACGGAUGGAUAGUUCAGGUUGUUGACAAGGUUAGAGCCUGAGCCGGUUUGGAAAUUCCUCCGUAUUGAAGCUCCAGCCUGAACCUGCUGGGGCAUGAUCGUGACAGAUGGUUUCAGUAAAUUAAUCUCAGGAUUCAUCGGUACAUGUGUUGGAGUGAAGCCAGGAGGUGUUGGAGAUCUUCAUUAGUUUCCUCAACUUGGUCCAUGAGGCCCUUUCCCUUAUCCAUUCCUCCCGACAGCAAUUUGGAUAACUGGGACAUCAUUUCUCUCUGGGACUCCAUCAUUUGCUCCUUCAUCUCUCGCUGAAUCUUGGCUAGUUGCUCUUGCAUCUGAGACUGCAUUUGUUCUUGCAUGUCUUUUUGCAUCUGCUCCAAUUUCUCGAGUCACUUAUCCAUUGAUUUUUUUCUUGUAUCGUAGGGGUGCGUGGUUGGUUGGUUUUCGUUGGUUUCCAGGUUACUGAAAUAAUUUUUAGUUAAUUAAUUAGAAAACUCUUAUGGCCUUUAAUGCAUAAUGAUAUGAUGUAAUGCAAAUGCAUGAAUGCAAAUGAGGCAUCAAUUUUGAUUCAACUGCCCUUAGAAAAUUUCACUUUAAAAUAAAAUCUUUUACAAAAAAUCGAGUUACAAAUAAAAUUUCGCUCUAACACUUAAAGUUCUAAUUUUUCUAAGCAACGAGGCCAGCUCUUGUCCGUGCUCUGACUCCAACUCAUAUUUCACGCUCAGUGUGGCCGCCUGAACCGCUAAAAUUUGCAAGUAGUCUGCUACCUCCUGAAUCUGGGUUAUGGCUUCCCCUAUAAGGUAAUCUCUGUUUCUGACUUGGUCUUGCGCAUGGUGAAGCUGCCCUUUCCAACGAUCCUCAUUUGCCUCGAAAAACUGGAUCUGUAUCUCAUAGUUUUGCAGUGACUCCUCUAACUCUUCUAUUCUUCCUUUCAUUUCUUUUAUCUUGCUCAAGAUCGCCCUCAAUUCUAAUGCGGUGUUGCAGUUUCGGUAUUGAUGUAGAGACUUCUUGAGUUCUGCCACUCUAGCCCUUAAUUCCCCUUGCUCAUUUCUACUUUCCGACAGACUUUUCUCCAAAUCUUUGUUUCGUGCCUGAGCUUCUCGGAAUUUCCUUUCCCACCGGUCGGUAUUAGCCUUUUCUUCUCGAAUUUCAUGGCGCCAUUGUUCGGAAGUGUUACCUAAACCCGCAGUCCUCAUAGAUAGGCGCAGCUUCUUGUAGUCCGUCUUCAAGCUAUCUAGAUCCUCUUCGGCCUUAGUUUUUCCUUUUCGCUACUUCUCAGCCUCUGACCCCUGAACAUCAGCGUCUAAUCUCAGGUGCAUCUUUUCUUCCUCCAAUUGUUCGAUCUUCUUCCCAAGCUCCAGACUCUUCUUCUCGAAAUCUGCCUUAUAAUCUCCAAUUCUGAUGGGGCGACUUGUAAUUGUUCCCUGAUAGGUUGAGCAUUCUCCAAGUUUGGCCUAGGAAUAUUAUCAUUAAUCCUCUUCUUAAACCACUCGCUGUACUCGGGUGUUACUAUGGAACCGACGGCUAACCUCUUCAUCCAACAAGUCUGCUUCCAAGCAUCUGAUAAUUCCUGAACUCUCUUCUUAUAAUGGGCACCUUUAAACGAGAAUUCACUCUGAGCAAGCCCAUAGGUCGUGGGUACAAACUGCCUCAACUUAUAUUGCCUCAAGGCUAUCAAUGGAAUAUACCCGGUAGCUCCCCAAAUUCCUAACAACUGCACCCAAUCGAAGUUACCACAUCGGUACAUGAUCUCGUCAAGAACCAUCUAAUAAGCUCUCCACUCGAUAUCCCCCUCCUUGAGGUUCUGAAAAAUGUCCAUCCACUUCUCCUCCGAGAUAUCCUCUCUCCUCUAUAUAGCUGCCUCUUCUUUCAACGGGGAAUAACCCUCGGAAAAGACUCGAUAAGAAACUUUGUCUACCUUCCAAAAGUGCCCGUGAAACCAUGCCAUCAACAACUGUGCACAUCCAAUAAACCGCCCCUCGCCUAUCUUCCGACAUGAGCUCAAAGAUCUGAACAUUUCUGCCAAUAUCGUCGGUACCGGUGUGAUUCCCAUUUCAAGACGAUCGAACAAGUCAAUGAUCGCUUCGUCCACGUGCCUCAAAGCCUUAGGAAAAAUCACUAAUCCGUAGAUGCUUAAGGCAAAUAUGUCGACCCUCUUUCUUUCAUCUGGAUGAGUCAAGAUCAAAUCUCGCAAAUUCUCCCAAGGGAUACAUUUGUUGUCUCCUUUUUGCUGAAUCCGAGCAGUGACCCAAGGCUUGCUCAUCCCAGAGAUGCUCAUCAGUUUCUUCAAGAAGGUCUGACUACUAAAAACCCGGGCAUAAGUCUUUCGGACCUAAAUUUUGGGACACCUAAGCAAAGGAUAUGUCACCAUAACCUUGGUAAAACAACUGCUUGAUCCUUUCAUCCCAACUAAUCCAAAUGUCAUUCAACUCUUGCAGCUCAUUCUGUACUACAUUGACGCGAGUGAAAUCCUGCAGCUCCGACGCAUACCCUUCUACCAAGCUAUCCCCUCUCUCAGAUUGUAGCCUCUCUGACCAUGCACGAAUGGCCGCAUUAUCCUCGACUUUACUAAGAAAUUCAUUCUCCAUGUCAAAUUUUCUAACUUAGUAAUUGAAUAUGGAUUAAUGCCUCCUUUAGUAUGCAAUGUCAUGCAAAAAAGACAAUCAAAACAAAACAUCGGUUAGUAUCAAAUAAUAGCAAUAGAAUGCAAGAACAUAAACGAUAAUUAUAAUGCAUAUACGGGUAAGUACUAAGGCUCGACGCAGCUUCACCCAAGGAUAGCUCCUAAGGUUCACUAUAUGUGGUUUAGUUCUAGGAAAGGGGGUACCCAAACCAACAGAUUCCUCAAUCCUCACCCAUUAUAGGCUCAUAUAGAUCGAGUUCGGUUCGAGGGGAUACAUUUCCUUAUGACCAUGCGGAGAUGAAAAUCUCACAAAAUCAUAGGUACAGAUGUACCCCGGAAGCAAUCCACUAGCCCAUGCGGAGGUGAAAACCUCACGAAAGCGUAGCUUCUUACUCCCACUUAAAAGGUGUGACCACAGUGGUCAUGCAAUGAAAUGCAGUGCUAAUCUACAAAACCCGCACCAAAACAAACAUACAAUCAAAUGCAAUCGAAAGAUACAUGAUUUUUAAAAUAAAUUUUUGGUUUUUUAACAAAAUGACCGUAAAUAAUCAAAUUUUAUGGCUUGACUCUCAAGUUCAAUUCCCCAGCGGAGUCGCCAAGCUAUCUAAACCACCCUUCGAUUUAAAAAUAAUUUUAAAUUUAAAAAAAAGGGAAAGUCGACUUUUGAAAAACGAAACAUGGAGUCGCCACCGAUCUUUUAUUUUGGGUGUAAUCGGAUCACCUAAGAAAUUGAUUAUUUUAAUAAAACAUUCUCGGUUUAUUGAAACACAAUUUUGGUCUUACGAAAUAAUGAGAAAAUGGGUUCGGGAGUCGGUUACGCAUGAGGAAGGAUUAGCACCCUCACUACGCCCAAAAUUGGUACCAAAUUGAUUAAACACUGUCCUUAUGUCAAAGCUUAAAAAAUGUUUUUGAAAUGUGGUUCUUGUUAAUAACGUUUAAAUAACCCGAGUGGGUUACCAAAAUCUUUUUGUUUCGACGUCCGAAAGUCUAUAAUUCGAAAUUUACAAAAGGAUGCCCAACUAUUUGGUCCAACGAAAAACCGAAACCCAGCACAAUAGGGCACGAUUCCUCGAAUUUCUGAACAUCGAACAUUGCCUCACCUUAGAAAAUACAAGUGAAAUUCCGAAGGGAUCUUCGAUUGUUUUGAGCAAAAGAGAAAGCGCAACCCAGCACAAUAGGGCUCGAUUCUCAAAUCACCAAACAUCGAAUAUCGACUUCGUUUUGCAAGGUUUUUAAUAAACAUGAAUGAAAACCUAAAGGAAUAUUCGAUUAUUUGAGCAAACGAGAAUCACAACCCAGCACGAUAGGGCAUGAUUCCCGAAUAAUCAAAAGCCAAAUAUUGCUUCGUUUUAAGUAAUUUUUAGAAGAUAUGAACGAAAUCUUGAAGGGAUACUCGAUUCUUUUGAGCAAAUGCGAAAUUGUAACCCAACACGUUAGGGCACGAUUCCGUGAAUUACUAAAUAUCGAAUGCCGUGUUCGUUUGGAAGAAUUUUAAAAGACAUGAAUGAAAUUUCGAAGCGAUAUUCGAUUAUUUUGAGCAAACGCGAAAUUGUAACCCAACACGUUAGGGCACGAUUCCGCGAAUUUCCAAACAUCAAAUCUUGUCUUCGUUUUGAAGAAUUUUUAAAGGAAUACUUAUAAAACUAGCUUAAAACGUAUUAUUUCGACUUGAAAUAAGAUGAAAUUGAUCAUAAAAGUUCGGAUUUUAUAAAACCACAUUUCAAAAAUCAAGUGAAAUGAUGAUAUGGGGGCAUAUAUGCAUGAAAUAAAAUCGAUUAAUGAACCCUAAAAUAUAACUAACCUAAGGAACAUAUCCGAUUACAAAUCACGCAUGGGGAACAAUUAACGUGGCAAUAACGAAUAAAUAAAAUGCAAUGACGGCAUACAUGGCAUAAUAAAAUUAUUAGAGGCAUAAAAUAAAACGUAAUCCAAAGAAGCAAUAUGGUAUAAGAUUAUUGUAAAACAAUGACAAGCUUAAUAUACUCGCGCAAUCAUCAAAAUAUAUAUCGUAGAAUGAAUAUUUUCGAAGUACAUAAUGUAUAGAUUGACAAAUUUAUAUAGAAAAUAAGAAUGUAAUUCUUAAAAUAGAUAUUAUAGAAAACGAUUUUGAAUUAAGUCACAUGCAAAAUGUUUAAAAACAAGUUCAUUUGAAAAUUGACAAAGCACAUGAUAACUUAAAUAAUAUAUAUAGUACGAAAAAAAAUAAAAUACAUGAUGAAAUAUAAUACACAAGGUAGAUUUACAAAAUAUAUACAUAAAUAAUUUAGAAAAUAAUCACUUGUAAAUGAUAUAAAAAUACAUGCGGCGUUAAGUUAAUUUUAUAAUAAAAUAUAUACAAUAGUUUUAGGAACGCGCCUAUAUGCAUAUAUACAAAGAGUACGAUAUAUGUAAAAUUCAUAAAUUUAAUAUAAUAUAUAUAGACUAAACAUAAGUGUCACCAAAAUAUAUAAUAAAAUAGCUUAAGGGGUAUAUGAUGUAAAAUUAUGUAAUAAGAGAUGAGAAUAAAUUUAAGAGAAAACAUAGGUGUAAAAUAAUAAAAUAUUAAUAAUAUGUAUAAAAUAAGAUGAACCUUAUUGUAAAGUAUAUACAUAUACCUAAGUGUAUAAAAGAACAUUUUAAACAAGCUAAUUUAAAAGAAAAUAAAUGAAUAAAUAUAUAUAGUUACAUAUAGAUAUUUGUAUACGCGUAUAUAAAUGAAAGUAUGAAUAAUAAAAUAUGGUCAUGCAAAACUUAAUAAAAUACUUCAAGAUAGUACAUUGAAUGGUGAAUAAUAAGUAAGUUUCAAAAAUAGAAGGGUUUCAAAGAAUAAAAAUGCUGAAAAUAACAAAAAAAACUCAAUUGAAACAAAAAUGAAACUAAAAGGAUCAUUAAUAAAUAAAAUCAGUUGCUGAAAUUAGGAAAAGGACUAAGUUUUGACGCGCGCGCGAAUGCAAGGGACUAAAACUGGAAAUAUACCAGAACCCAAAAUGAUGCGUUUAGGCGCGGAUUAGAUUGCACUCAUGCGCAAAAUACAAAGCCCAAAUUAAAAAAAAUGAAAUGAAUAAGACACCAUUGAAUGUCCGUACAAAAAGGAGGGGCCAAUUGUGAAAUAAUACCCUCUCCGCGAGAGCACGCGGGUCCUAGAGUGGAGAAACGGAUCGGGUCGGGCGCAGUUAUACGACACCAUUUGGAGAGCUAUUAGGCAGGGCCUAAAACGGUGUAGUUCGAGGUUGAAUAAAAGGGCUAAAUCGACAACUUUGGCCGAACCUAAACCCUAACAUCAUUUCUUUUCUCUCCAGCAGCCCCUAAGCCUCUCUUCUCCUAUGCCAAGCCGCAACCAUGUCGAUGGCCGGCAUCCUCAGGCUACAUGCGAACACUUUGUGGCUUUGAGGUUCCCCUUAAGUCUCCGAUUUCGGUGAAACAAAGGAGAACCGAUAGCCUAUUUUCCAGAUAAGGUUUCGUCUCCUUUUUCUUUUAUUUAGAUGUAAAUAACGAAAAAGAAAAUCAAAAAGGGAAAUCGAGAGAGAAAAGAGCGUAAUAAACCCCAGAGAUUCAAAAGCAGAAGAUCACCUUGUUCUAUUUUUUGCUUUCUAUUCCUUCUGAAUGUGUGUGUAUUCUCUGUGAAUGUAACCUUUACAAUGAUUACAGAUCCUGGCUUUAUAGCCGAAAAAAGAAAGAAAAAAUAAUAAAAAUAAAUAAAAAGAAUUCGACAUUUGUUCUUUGUUUUUUUUCUGCUCUAUGCUGUUGUUGCGUUUGUCCCUUUCUUCGCAGGUACAGGUGUGCGCUCGGGUACGGGGUCAUGUGCUGGCACGGGCGUGACUACUGGACAGUAUGGAGGCCAGGGCUGAAGCUUGGCUGGUUGCGGCGCAAAGGGGAACCUUAGGGUUCUUGAGGAUUGCUUGACCUUUGGGCCAAUCGGGCUGUAUUUUGGGUCUAGGUUAAUGGGCCAUUGUAUUUGGUUUUGGGUCUAAACAAUGGGUUUGGGCUAUUGUAAUAAUUUCAGACUAAUGGACUUUUAAUAAUAUUUGUUGGUUUUUUAAUAUAUAUAUUUAUUUAUUUAUUGUUGUAUAUUUGGGUUUCUAGUGGGCCCGGGCAAAUUUGCCCAUUUACAAUCAUAGUUUAGGGAUAUUUGGUACAAUUAACUCUUCUCAAAAUAAGUAUCUAAUAAAAUUUAUUGGUAUUAUAAAUAAGUAAUGAACUAAAUUACUUAACUAUUUGCUCACGCAUAAUUUUUAUAUGUUUAGAACUUGAACUUAAACAAGAUUCUAAUGUCACGGGCCACGAAUCAAAGCUCGUGACCAUUGCAAAAAAAGUGUCCCAUAGAGAUUUACAUAUUAAAUGGGGCUCAUUUGACUCACUUAAAGUCUUGG